rnacentral:rRNA from 1 species
GCCUCUAGCGAGCUGGUACAUGGCCCGUACCCCAAACCGACACAGGUGGUCAGGUAGAGAAUACUAAGGCGAUCGAGAGAACUGUGGUUAAGGAUCUCGGCAAAAUGCCCCCGUAACUUCGGGAGAAGGGGGACCAGUCCUGGUGACGACAUUUACUGUCUGAGCUGGGGUUGGUCGCAGAGACCAGAGAGAAGCGACUGUUUACUAAAAACACAGGUCCGUGCGAAGUCGUAAGACGAUGUAUACGGACUGACGCCUGCCCGGUGCUGGAAGGUUAAGAGGACCGGUCAGCCACUUCGGUGGCGAAGCUGAGAAUUUAAGCCCCAGUAAACGGCGGUGGUAACUAUAACCAUCCUAAGGUAGCGAAAUUCCUUGUCGGGUAAGUUCCGACCUGCACGAAUGGCGUAACGACUUCUCUGCUGUCUCAACCACAGACUCGGCGAAAUUGCAGUACGAGUAAAGAUGCUCGUUACGCGCGGCAGGACGAAAAGACCCCGGGACCUUCACUAUAGCUUGGUAUUGGUGUUCGGUUCGGUUUGUGUAGGAUAGGUGGGAGACUGUGAAACUCGCACGCCAGUGUGGGUGGAGUCAUUGUUGAAAUACCACUCUGACCGUAUUGGACAUCUAACCUCGGACCAUGAUCUGGUUCAGGGACAGUGCCUGGUGGGUAGUUUAACUGGGGCGGUUGCCUCCUAAAAAGUAACGGAGGCGCCCAAAGGUUCCCUCAGCCUGGUUGGCAAUCAGGUGUUGAGUGUAAGUGCACAAGGGAGCUUGACUGUGAGACGUACAUGUCGAGCAGGGACGAAAGUCGGGACUAGUGAUCCGGCACCGGCAAGUGGAAGCGGUGUCGCUCAACGGAUAAAAGGUACCCCGGGGAUAACAGGCUGAUCUUCCCCAAGAGUCCAUAUCGACGGGAUGGUUUGGCACCUCGAUGUCGGCUCGUCGCAUCCUGGGGCUGGAGUAGGUCCCAAGGGUUGGGCUGUUCGCCCAUUAAAGCGGCACGCGAGCUGGGUUUAGAACGUCGUGAGACAGUUCGGUCUCUAUCCGCCGCGCGCGUAAGAAACUUGAGGAAACCUGUCCCUAGUACGAGAGGACCGGGACGGACGAACCUCUGGUGUGCCAGUUGUUCCACCAGGAGCACCGCUGGUUAGCUACGUUCGGAAGGGAUAACCGCUGAAAGCAUCUAAGCGGGAAGCCUGUUCCAAGAUGAGGUUUCCCACCACCUAGCGUGGUUAAGGCCCCCCACAGACCAUGGGGUUGAUAGGCCAGAACUGUAAGCACAGCAAUGUGUUCAGGUGACUGGUACUAAUCGGCCGAGGACUUAC